rnacentral:rRNA from 1 species
GAUGAACGCUGGCGGCGUGCCUAAUACAUGCAAGUCGAACGCAUAGCGAAAGGUGCUUGCACCUUUCAAGUGAGUGGCGAACGGGUGAGUAACCCGUGGACAACCUGCCUCAAGGCUGGGGAUACCAUUUGGAAACAGAUGCUAAUACCGAAUAAAACUUAGUGUCGCAUGACACAAAGUUAAAAGGCGCUUCGGCGUCACCUAGAGAUGGAUCCGCGGUGCAUUAGUUAGUUGGUGGGGUAAAGGCCUACCAAGACAAUGAUGCAUAGCCGAGUUGAGAGACUGAUCGGCCACAUUGGGACUGAGACACGGCCCAAACUCCUACGGGAGGCUGCAGUAGGGAAUCUUCCACAAUGGGCGAAAGCCUGAUGGAGCAACGCCGCGUGUGUGAUGAAGGCUUUCGGGUCGUAAAGCACUGUUGUAUGGGAAGAACAGCUAGAAUAGGAAAUGAUUUUAGUUUGACGGUACCAUACCAGAAAGGGACGGCUAAAUACGCG